rnacentral:sRNA from 1 species
CCCCAGCGCGGGGGGUCCUUGGCUCCUAGGGGGGGCCAGGAAUGGCCGCGCCCCGUCCAGCGGGCGGUGAUGGGAUCGAAACAACACCCGCAGCA